GUCGAGAAUUUUUCACAAUGGGGGAAACCCUGAUGGAGCGACGCCGCGUGGGGGAUGAAUGGCUUCGGCCCGUAAACCCCUGUCAUUUGCGAUCAAACCUCGCUAUUUAAAAGAUGGCGGGCUGAUAGUAGCGGAAGAGGAAGGGACGGCUAACUCUGUGCCAGCAGCCGCGGUAAUACAGAGGUCCCGAGCGUUGUUCGGAUUCACUGGGCGUAAAGGGUGCGUAGGUGGUGAGGUAAGUCGGAUGUGAAAUCUCGGAGCUUAACUCCGAAAUGGCAUUGGAAACUGCCUUGCUAGAGGAUUGGAGGGGGGACUGGAAUACUUGGUGUAGCAGUGAAAUGCGUAGAUAUCAAGUGGAACACCAGUGGCGAAGGCGAGUCCCUGGACAAAUCCUGACACUGAGGCACGAAAGCUAGGGGAGCAAACAGGAUUAGAUACCCGGGUAGUCC
rnacentral:rRNA from 1 species